AAUACACAGCGAUUGGAAAGUAGUUGAGACUAAAUGCAAUCCAGCUGAAAACUUCGACAUAACAUCAGAAGAAAACGGCAUGAUAAUUGAACAAAUCAAUUCAAACCAAUUAUAUUCAUGUCCGGCAAGGUGGUACUAUCUGGUAAUUUACAAUGAAGAUACGAAUGAAGAAGACGUUUCUAUAUUAGGUCCAUCUUUUCCAUAUGAGUUUAAAUAUUUAUCAGCAUACACUUCUUUUAAUGUGAC
rnacentral:lncRNA from 13 species